GACGAACGCUGGCGGCGUGCUUAACACAUGCAAGUCGAGCGGAGCGGAGAACGGGUGAGUAACGCGGGAGUAACUGCCCCCCUCUCUGGGAUAACAGAUGGAAACGGCUGCUAAUACCGGAUAGUGUGGGAUGACUCGCGUCCUAUCAGCUUGUUGGUGGGGUGGUGGCAUACCAAGGGGACGACGGGUAGCCGGCCUGGGAGGGGGACCGGCCACAUUGGGCUGAGAUACGGCACAAAGUCCUACGGUAGGCAGCAGGGGGGAAUAUUGCACAAUGGUGGAAACCCUGAUGCAGAAACCCGGGGGCGGGAUGACGGCCUUCGGGUUGUAAACCGCUUUCAGCCAUGACGCGGUAGUGGCAGAAGAAGCACCGGCUAACUACGUGCCAGCAGCCGCGGUAAUUC
rnacentral:rRNA from 1 species